rnacentral:rRNA from 1 species
AGUCAAGUAAUUAAGUGCAUGUGGUGGAUGCCUUGGCAGUCAGAGGCGAUGAAAGACGUGAUAGCCUGCGAAAAGCUCCGGGGAGGCGGCAAAUAUCCUUUGAUCCGGAGAUGUCUGAAUGGGGGAACCCACCUACUUUAAGGUAGGUAUUGCAACAUGAAUACAUAGUGUUGCAAGGCGAACGAGGGGAAGUGAAACAUCUCAGUACCCUUAGGAAAAGAAAUCAAUUGAGAUUCCCUCAGUAGCGGCGAGCGAACGGGGAUCAGCCCAUUAAGUUAUGUGUGUUUUAGUGGAACGCUCUGGGAAGUGCGAACGUAGAGGGUGAUAUUCCCGUACACGAAAGGGCACACAUAAUGAUGACGAGUAGGGCGAGGCACGUGAAACCUUGUCUGAAUAUGGGGGGACCAUCCUCCAAGGCUAAAUACUCCUGACUGACCGAUAGUGAACCAGUACCGUGAGGGAAAGGCGAAAAGAACCCCUGUGAGGGGAGUGAAAUAGAUCCUGAAACCGCAUGCAUACAAGCAGUGGGAGCACCUUCGUGGUGUGACUGCGUACCUUUUGUAUAAUGGGUCAGCGACUUAUAUUCAGUAGCGAGGUUAACCGUAUAGGGGAGCCGUAGAGAAAUCGAGUCUUAAUAGGGCGUUUAGUUGCUGGGUAUAGACCCGAAACCAGGCGAUCUAUCCAUGAGCAGGUUGAAGGUUGGGUAACACUAACUGGAGGACCGAACCCACUGUCGUUGAAAAGCCAGGGGAUGACUUGUGGAUAGGGGUGAAAGGCUAAUCAAGCCUGGUGAUAGCUGGUUCUCCCCGAAAGCUAUUUAGGUAGCGCCUCGGACGAAUACCAUAGGGGGUAGAGCACUGUUUCGGCUAGGGGGUCAUCCCGACUUACCAAACCGAUGCAAACUCCGAAUACCUAUGAGUACUAUCCGGGAGACAGACUGCGGGUGCUAACGUCCGUAGUCAAGAGGAAAACAAUCCAGACCGCCAGCUAAGGCCCCAAAAUCAUAGUUAAGUGGGAAACGAUGUGGGAAGGCAUAGACAGCUAGGAGGUUGGCUUAGAAGCAGCCACCCUUUAAAGAAAGCGUAAUAGCUCACUAGUCGAGUCGGCCUGCGCGGAAGAUGUAACGGGGCUAAAACUAUGUGCCGAAGCUGCGGAUGUAUACUUUGUAUACGUGGUAGGGGAGCGUUCUGUAAGCCGAUGAAGGUGUGUUGAGAAGCAUGCUGGAGGUAUCAGAAGUGCGAAUGCUGACGUGAGUAACGACAAAACGGGUGAAAAACCCGUUCGCCGAAAGACCAAGGGU